GAUCAUGGCUCAGGAUGAACGCUAGCUACAGGCUUAACACAUGCAAGUCGAGGGGCAGCAUGGUCUUAGCUUGCUAAGGCUGAUGGCGACCGGCGCACGGGUGAGUAACACGUAUCCAACCUGCCGUCUACUCUUGGCCAGCCUUCUGAAAGGAAGAUUAAUCCAGGAUGGGAUCAUGAGUUCACAUGUCCGCAUGAUUAAAGUNUUACGUUCGACGA
rnacentral:rRNA from 1 species